UAAUCUGCCCNCUGAAUUUAUUUAAAGGGCUGCAGUAUAUUGACUGUACAAAGGUAGCAUAAUCAAUAGUCUUUUAAUUGAAGACUUGUAUGAAUGAUUUGAUGAAAUAUAAACUGUCUCUUUAUUAAAAAUAAAAUUUAAUUUUUUAGUUAAAAAGCUAAAAUAAUUAUAAAAGACGAGAAGACCCUAUAGAGUUUUAUAUUUAUUUUAUUUAGAAAUUAUUUAUAUAAUUUAAAUAUAUAAUAAUUUAAAUAUUUUAUUGGGGUGAUAGAAAAAUUAAAUAAACUUUUUUUAAAUUUUAACAUUAAUUUAUGAAAUUAUGAUCCAUAAUUUAUGAUUAAAAGAAAAAAUUACCUUAGGGAUAACAGCGUAAUUUUUUUUUUUAGUUCAAAUAAAAAAAAGAGUUUGCGACCUCGAUGUUGGAUUAAGAUAAAAUUUAAAUGCAAAAGUUUAAAAUUUUUGAUCUGUUCGAUCAUUAAAAUCUUACAUGAUCUGAGC
rnacentral:rRNA from 1 species